UGUUGUUUCCUUUUACUAAGC
rnacentral:piRNA from 1 species